CCUACGGGUGGCAGCAGUGAGGAAUAUUGGUCAAUGGCCGGGAGUCUGAACCAGCCAAGUCGCGUGAAGGAUGACUGCCCUAUGGGUUGUAAACCUCUUUUAUAUGGGAAUAAAACAUGGUAUGCGUCCCCUCAUGUCUGUACCUUAUGAAUAAGCAUCGGCUAACUCCGUGCCAGCAGCCGCGGUAAUACGGAGGAUUCGAGCGUUAUCCGGAUUUAUUGGGUUUAAAGGGUGCGUAGGCGGGUUUUUAAGUCAGUGGUGAAAGUUUGGGGCUUAACCGUAUAAUUGCAGUUGAUACUGGCAGUCUCGAGUACAGUAGAGGUGGGCGGAAUUCGUGGUGUAGCGGUGAAAUGCGUAGAUAUCACGAAGAACUCCGAUUGCGAAGGCAGCUUACUGGACUGCAACUGACACUGAUGCACGAAAGCGUGGGUAGCGAACAGGAUUAGAUACCCGAGUAGUC
rnacentral:rRNA from 1 species